UACGUAGGUGGCAAGCGUUGUCCGGAUUUACUGGGCGUAAAGAGCGCGCAGGCGGUCGUACAAGUCGCGUGUGAAAGCCCCCGGCUCAACUGGGGAGGGUCACGCGAUACUGUUCGACUCGAAGGCAGGAGAGGGAAGCAGAAUUCCCGGUGUAGUGGUGAAAUGCGUAGAUAUCGGGAGGAAUACCAGUGGCGAAGGCGGCUUCCUGGCCUGUUCUUGACGCUGAGGAGCGAAAGCCAGGGGAGCAAACGGG
rnacentral:rRNA from 1 species